GAUUCUCUACAAGUCAAUAAAAUUUAAAAAAAAAAAGAAAAAGAAAAAUAAACCCUACCUUCAUCGUCAAUAACCAUCUACUUCUCUUAUUUCCAUUCAUUUUCAAUCAUUUUAGCCGUCAUCGCAUAACAAAUUGACCUUAAUUCGUCGAAUUAAACUUUAGAGUUUUAUCGAUGGGCCGAAAGAAGCCAACUGCACCUGAUGAAGAGAACUCACUCGCUGUGGGUGGUGGAAAAUUGAAGAAAAAGCAGCUGGUGAUUGACGAUGAUGAGUACUCAAUUGGUACGGAUUUGUCAGAGGAGCCUCAAAUUCAGGAGGAGAAAGUUGAGGUUGCCGGGAAGAAGAAGGGCAAAAAGGGGAAUAAAAAAGGUUUGCAGUCUAAAGAGGAGGAUGAGGAAAAGCAGGAUGUGGAAGAGGAUGAAGAAGUGCAGGAGAUUGUCUUUGCAGCAAAGAAGAAGAAAGGAAAGAGGAGUGGGGGUGACAGUGUGUUUUCAGCAUCAAGCUUUGGGUUACUUGGAGAUGAAGAUAAUGAUGAGGAGGAGAAGUCUGACUUAACAGGUGAUAAAGAUAGUGACGUAGAGGAUGAACCGGUUGUGAGCUUUACUGGAAAGAAAAAAGCAUCAAAGAAGGAUAACAAGAGUGGCACUAGUUUGUUUAGUGCUGCAGCUGAUCUGCCUGAUGAUGAUAAUGAAGGUGAUGUGGUUGAUAAAGUUGAGAAUGGUGGUGAUGAUAUGCCAGCUGUUGAGUUUACUGGGAAAAAGAAAUCCUCCAAGGGUGGCAAGAAGGGUGGUGGUAGUGGGUUUGCGGCAGCUAGUUUUGAUGUGUUAGAUGACAAUGAGGAGGAAAAGGAUGAGGAUGAAGAUGUUGCUGCCAUUACUUUCUCAGGUAAAAAGAAGUCAUCCAAGUCCACCAAGAAGGGUGGUAAUAAGUUCAGUUCAGCAUUGGUUGAUGAGGGGAAUGAUGAAGAGGCUUCUGUGUCUGGUUCUGUUAAAACUAGUGAUGAUGUAGCAGAAGUUGAGGAUGAAGAUGGGGUGGUUAUUGCAUUUACAGGUAAAAAGAAGUCAUCUAAGAAAAAGGGGAAUUCUAAUAGUGUUUCUGCUACAUUAAAUGAUGGGGAAGGAAGUGAGAUAGCUAACAUGGCUGAGCAACCACCUAGCAUUGUUGAAGCUAGUGCUGCUCAGGUUCACAUGGGUGAUGUGGUUGCAGAAACCUCAAAGAACAAGAAGAAGAAGAAGAAUAAGAGUGGUAGGACAGCUCAAGAAGAGGAAGAUUUGGAUAAGAUUCUUGCGGAGCUUGGUGAUGGGAUGCCAAUUGAAAAACCCUCUGCUCCUCCCCCACAAGCAGAGAGUGUUCUGGUGCAGAGUGAUCCAGUCGCAUCAGUGGAUGCUGUGGCUGAGAAGGAAGGUGAAGAAGAAAAAGAAGAGUCUGCUGCGGCAAAGAAGAAGAAAAAGAA
rnacentral:misc_RNA from 1 species